rnacentral:rRNA from 1 species
CCUACGGGAGGCAGCAGUGGGGAAUAUUGCGCAAUGGGCGAAAGCCUGACGCAGCGACGCCGCGUGAGGGAUGAAGGUCUUCGGAUCGUAAACCUCUGUUUGUAGGGAAGAACGGUCACUGUGCUAAUCAGCAGUGAAUUGACGGUACCUGCAAAGGAAGCACCGGCUAACUCCGUGCCAGCAGCCGCGGUAAUACGGAGGGUGCGAGCGUUAAUCGGAGUUACUGGGCGUAAAGCGCUCGUAGGCGGUAUGUCAAGUCAAGGGUGAAAUCCCCGCGCUCAACGUGGGAACUGCCUUUGAAACUGGCAAACUGGAGUGUGUGAGAGGAUAGUGGAAUUCCAGGUGUAGGGGUGAAAUGCGUAGAUAUCUGGAGGAACAUCAGUGGCGAAGGCGACUAUCUGGCACAUAACUGACGCUGAGGAGCGAAAGCGUGGGUAGCAAACAGGAUUAGAUACCCUGGUAGUC